UACGUAGGGUGCAAGCGUUGUCCGGAAUUAUUGGGCGUAAAGAGCUCGUAGGCGGCUUGUCGCGUCGGCUGUGAAAACCUGGGGCUCAACUCCGGGCCUGCAGUCGAUACGGGCAGACUGGAGUUCGGCAGGGGAGACUGGAAUUCCUGGUGUAGCGGUGAAAUGCGCAGAUAUCAGGAGGAACACCGGUGGCGAAGGCGGGUCUCUGGGCCGAAACUGACGCUGAGGAGCGAAAGCGUGGGGAGCGAACAGG
rnacentral:rRNA from 1 species